GGAGGGGUGGCAGAGCCUGGUCGAAUGCACCGGUCUUGAAAACCGGCGGGCCGCGAGGGAAAAUUGGACUUCAACGCCGCUGAAGGCAUCUUUUGACGUGCAUCUGGUACGCGUCAUAGCAUUAUCGUACCAGUUGACGCGUCAUAAUGGCCUCUCUCGUCCAACAAGGCGGCCGGUACUACGUCCAGUUCUACGACUCUGACCGCUCCCCUACU
rnacentral:tRNA from 1 species